GAUGAACGCUGGCGGCGUGCCUAAUACAUGCAAGUCGAGCGAACGGACGAGAAGCUUGCUUUUCUGAUGUUAGCGGCGGACGGGUGAGUAACACGUGGAUAACCUACCUAUAAGACUGGGAUAACUUCGGGAAACCGGAGCUAAUACCGGAUAAUAUUUUGAACCGCAUGGUUCAAAAGUGAAAGACGGUCUUGCUGUCACUUAUAGAUGGAUCCGCGCUGCAUUAGCUAGUUGGUAAGGUAACGGCUUACCAAGGCAACGAUGCAUAGCCGACCUGAGAGGGUGAUAGGCCACACUGGAACUGAGACACGGUCCAGACUCCUACGGGAGGCAGCAGUAGGGAAUCUUCCGCAAAGGGCGAAAGCCUGACGGAGCAACGCCGCGUGAGUGAUGAAGGUCUUCGGAUCGUAAAACUCUGUUAUUAGGGAAGAACAUAUGUGUAAGUAACUGUGCACAUCUUGACGGUACCUAAUCAGAAAGCCACGGCUAACUACGUG
rnacentral:rRNA from 1 species